AAACCAUGUUGUAGGCAUGAACUAACAAGUUCCUUGAAUCACUCCUAACAUUGGAAGAAUGUUUCAUCACCCUUUUGGGCGAAGUUCAUGAUUGACUUUCUAAGGGU